rnacentral:rRNA from 1 species
GACGAACGCUGGCGGCGUGCUUAACACAUGCAAGUCGAACGGAAAGGCCCUGCUUGCAGGGUGCUCGAGUGGCGAACGGGCGAGUAACACGUGGGUGCUCUGCCCCUUACUUUGGGAUAAGCCUGGGAAACUGGGUCUAUUACUGGAUAGCACCAUGCUGUAGGUGGUGUGGUGGAAAGAUUUUUUUCGGUAAGGGAUGAGCUCGCGGCCGAUUAGCUUUUUGGAGGGGUAAUGGCCUACCAAGGCGUCGACGGGUAGCCGGCCAGAGUGGGUGGACGGCCAGAUUGGGACUGAGAUACGGCCCAGACUCCUACGGGAGGCAGCAGUGGGGAAUAGUGCACAAUAGGCGCAAGCCUGAUGCAGAGACGCCGCGUGGGGGGUGAAGGCCUUCGGGUUGUAAAGAACUGCCAGCCAUGAAGAAGCCCUUGUGGUGACGGUAGUGGUAGAAGAAGCACCGGCUAACUACGUG